rnacentral:rRNA from 1 species
GCCAUGCCGCGUGCAGGAAGACGGCCUUCUGGGUUGUAAACUGCUUUUGCCAGGGGAUAAAACGUCCUUGCGUGGAAAAUUGAAGGUACCUGGUGAAUAAGCCACGGCUAACUACGUGCCGGCGGCCGCGGUAAUACGUAGGUGGCAAGCGUUGUCCGGAUUUAUUGGGUUUAAAGGGUGCGUAGGCGGCCUAUUAAGUCAGUGCUGAAAUAUCCCGGCUUAACCGGGAGGGUGGCAUUGAUACUGAUGGGCUAGAGUACAGAUGAGGUAGGCGGAAUUGACGGUGUAGCGGUGAAAUGCUUAGAUAUCGUCAAGAACACCUAUAGCGAAGGCAGCUUACUAGGCUGUAACUGACGCUGAGGCACGAAAGUGUGGGGAUCAAACAGGAUUAGAUACCCUGGUAGA